AUUGAACGCUGGCGGCAGGCUUAACACAUGCAAGUCGAGCGGUAGCACAGGGGAGCUUGCUCCCUGGGUGACGAGCGGCGGACGGGUGAGUAAUGUCUGGGAAACUGCCUGAUGGAGGGGGAUAACUACUGGAAACGGUAGCUAAUACCGCAUAACGUCGCAAGACCAAAGAGGGGGACCUUCGGGCCUCUUGCCAUCAGAUGUGCCCAGAUGGGAUUAGCUAGUAGGUGGGGUAAUGGCUCACCUAGGCGACGAUCCCUAGCUGGUCUGAGAGGAUGACCAGCCACACUGGAACUGAGACACGGUCCAGACUCCUACGGGAGGCAGCAGUGGGGAAUAUUGCACAAUGGGCGCAAGCCUGAUGCAGCCAUGCCGCGUGUGUGAAGAAGGCCUUCGGGUUGUAAAGCACUUUCAGCGAGGAGGAAGGUGGUGAGCUUAAUACGUUCAUCAAUUGACGUUACUCGCAGAAGAAGCACCGGCUAACUCCGUGCCAGCAGCCGCGGUAAUACGGAGGGUGCAAGCGUUAAUCGGAAUUACUGGGCGUAAAGCGCACGCAGGCGGUUUGUUAAGUCAGAUGUGAAAUCCCCGGGCUCAACCUGGGAACUGCAUUUGAAACUGGCAAGCUAGAGUCUCGUAGAGGGGGGUAGAAUUCCAGGUGUAGCGGUGAAAUGCGUAGAGAUCUGGAGGAAUACCGGUGGCGAAGGCGGCCCCCUGGACGAAGACUGACGCUCAGGUGCGAAAGCGUGGGGAGCAAACAGGAUUAGAUACCCUGGUAGUCCACGCUGUAAACGAUGUCGAUUUGGAGGUUGUGCCCUUGAGGCGUGGCUUCCGGAGCUAACGCGCUAAAUCGACCGCCUGGGGAGUACGGCCGCAAGGUUAAAACUCAAAUGAAUUGACGGGGGCCCGCACAAGCGGUGGAGCAUGUGGUUUAAUUCGAUGCAACGCGAAGAACCUUACCUACUCUUGACAUCCAGAGAACUUUCCAGAGAUGGAUUGGUGCCUUCGGGAACUCUGAGACAGGUGCUGCAUGGCUGUCGUCAGCUCGUGUUGUGAAAUGUUGGGUUAAGUCCCGCAACGAGCGCAACCCUUAUCCUUUGUUGCCAGCGGUUCGGCCGGGAACUCAAAGGAGACUGCCAGUGAUAAACUGGAGGAAGGUAGGGAUGACGUCAAGUCAUCAUGGCCCUUACGAGUAGGGCUACACACGUGCUACAAUGGCGUAUACAAAGAGAAGCGACCUCGCGAGAGCAAGCGGACCUCAUAAAGUACGUCGUAGUCCGGAUUGGAGUCUGCAACUCGACUCCAUGAAGUCGGAAUCGCUAGUAAUCGUAGAUCAGAAUGCUACGGUGAAUACGUUCCCGGGCCUUGUACACACCGCCCGUCACACCAUGGGAGUGGGUUGCAAAAGAAGUAGGUAGCUUAACCUUCGGGAGGGCGCUUACCACUUUGUGAUUCAUGACUGGGGUGA
rnacentral:rRNA from 1 species